rnacentral:rRNA from 1 species
GAUGAACGCUAGCGGCAGGCCUAAUACAUGCAAGCCGAACGGCAAGAUUUUCAGCAAUGGAAAUCCUAGAGUGGCGUAAGGGUGCGUAACACGUAUGCAAUCUGCCCUCAACAGGAGGAUAGCUCCCCGAAAGGGGAAUUAAGACUCCAUAAGAUCUUAGAGUGGCAUCACUUAGAGAUUAAACUACCAGGGGUUGAGGAUGAGCAUGCGCAUGAUUAGUUAGUUGGCGGGUAACGGCCCACCAAGACGAUGAUCAUUAGGGGAACUGAGAGGUUGAUCCCCCACACCGGCACUGAGAUACGGGCCAGACUCCUACGGGAGGCAGCAGUAGGGAAUAUGGACAAUGGGUGCAAGCCUGAU